CCGAUUGGUAACGUCUUUAUUGUUUAUACUUCGAAAUACAUUCAACAUGUUUUCCUUUUACUUAAAAUAUAAACCCUGAUAGAGCUCCUUAAAAGGCAGCAUGCUUCAUAGCUAAAUGAAAUUUUGCUCCCAGAAUACAUUCCAAUGAAGUAUUACAUAAGUCUUAGUGGGUUAGGUACCCAAUUUCUCAUUUUGUAAUCUGUAUGUGGAUAGCUUCCCUAUGUUGUAGCCUUAAAACUUCGCUUCUGAAGUAAUAAAAAACUGAUGUAGUUAUUAGAUUAGCCAAGAGAACAAUACCUAAACCAUCAGAGAAACAAAGCCACCCUACUGUCCCCAUGGCAUCACUGAGGUCUACUUGGCUGACUGGGAAUACUUAGAACAGCAGAUGUUCUCCCCGCCCCCUGGAGAAGUGCUGAGGAAGCAUUCCUGUGGUUUUAAUCUAUCCAUUUACACUGGACUUUAUCUUACAAGUACAUUCCCGGUCUAGUGUGGGUAUUCAGUAUUAUACAGAAUGCUUCAGAUCCGAGAGAACCAAAGAUAACUAAUCUCACAGUAGAAGUGAAUCACAGCAAAAUAGACAAAACAGAACAAAAAAUUCAAACCACAAAGCCCAAAUGUACAUCCUAGAGCUUCAGAACUGACUUCAAGAUGCCAAUUUGAGAGAAGUUGGUUUUCUGCUCUCUGAGCUCUGCAUGAGCAGAUUUCUGGAGGUUGGAGGCAUUUGUCUGACUUGAGUCCAGAAGAUGAGCUGCAACUAUUGUGUUGUGCCCCACCCCUAUGCUGUCCCUGCAAAGGAAAGGCCGGAACUACUCAUUCACAUCUACAUUCCCAACCAGGAGCAGGCAAAUGUUACAAUGCCUUUGCUAAGUGAAUGUGUCUUCCUUUUCUGGGGUACAAAGUCAAAGCUCUACAUGAAAACAACUGCACAUACAGAAACAGGUAGGCUGGGAAUGACUCUAACCUGAACAGAAAAAGAGAAGGAUAAUUGCUACUCAACUCCUGCCAGGAGAUGCCAUUCAAUGAUGGAUCGGUUAUUAGUGCUACAUCUUAUUCAAAUGUUACAGAUAUUUUUUGUGUAACUAUGCCGAGUUUCUGCAAUACUGCUGUUUAACCACUUUGAACCAUUUUCCUGGCCUACGAAAACAGGCCCACAUAGGCCAGAUGUAGUUACCAGGGUUCAACCUCCACCAUGACCUGUUGUUUCCAAUCUUUUAGGAAAAGUCCAGGUAUAUGGAACAAUUCUUGCUUCUUCCAACUGGCUAAGAGAGCAAAUUUCAAACAAUGGGAACUCAUCAAAAUCUCCAAAGAAAAUGUGAUACCAGGAAAUGAGGAGUCAAAGUAAAUUGGGAAAACGGAAACCUCAGUGCACACUAGGCCCCGUGGAUAAUGUGUAAGAUGCCUGCUACUAUAACUAGGAGCAGCACUAUAAUGCUGACUGGUGAAUGGUUAUUUCCGUCUCAUCAAGUUUGCUUUUUAAAAUGAGAACUGUUUUAGCCAUCAACAAAGAUGCACUCAGGCCAAAGAACUGUAACAACUGCUGUUACAGAGUUUAAAUUUUUACAGUGCUUGGUAGGAAGGACCUUUAGCAAUUGUAGUCUAAACUUUACAUUUGUUAACAAAAUGCAUUUAUCUGGAAGGAUCCAGUUACCAGUUGUCAAAAGAUCUUAUAUGUUGAAAAUGUAAUUUUUAUUUUACAAAGAACACAAUAAAAUAGACUGUAUUCUAAAAGCAAACAAAACAAAACAAACCUUCAGAAGUUACGAAGAAAUAUGCAGAUGGGCUACAAUAUCCACAGCCUUAUACUGCAGGAGAGGAAGAUUCCUGACCCUAAGGAUAGCAUUUACAGAUACAUGACUUAAAAAUAACAAUGCAGAAAUUCCAUGUGGAAAAAGGUGGAAAGGGACUGUUUUACACGGGAAGAAAACAAUUACUAACAGUAAGUUAAAGGAUACGAUGGGCACGAUGGCCUUUGAUCCUAGCAGAGGCAGCUGGAUCUGAGUUGGAGGUCAGCCUGUCUGUAAUAGUGAGGUCCAGGAUAGCCAGGGUCACAUAGCAAGACUUCCCCUCUUAAAGAAAAUGAAAAAAGUUCUCAUAGCAAAUGCACAGGAAUCAAAGAGCCAAUAAUACCAGUUUCCUGGGAUCAAAACUGCCUCAGCAUGGGGUUGGGGAUUUAGCUCAGU
ensembl:lncRNA